AUAGUUACAGGCAAGGCUGUUCUAGAAAGGAGACACUUGGGCUGGAAUCCAAACGUUGAGAGGAAUGCCUUGCAAAGAGCUGGAGGAAGAGCAGAGGGCACAAGGAAUGCUGAAGACUGAAGGCAGAAACCGUGUGGGCAUUAUCAGAGAGACAGAAAGACAGCCAGAUAGCCUGAAGCUACAGAGGGAGGUUGUGGCCAGAUCAAAGAGGUUGGAAUUUUAAGUGCAAUUGAAAAAUCACAGGGAGAGAGAGAGAGAGCAUGAGCUGGAGGGGCAGAAGGAGACGGAGAGAGAAUCUCAAGGACGCUCUGAGCUGAGCUUGGAAGCCAACUCUGGGCCCGGUUUUGCCACCCUGAGAUCAUGAUCUGAGCCCAAACCAAGAGUCAGAGGCUUAACAGACUGUGCCACCCAGGUACCCUGAACAUGUAUUAUUUAAAAGCCAUUUAAUACGCUAUAUAUUUUAAUGAUCUUUCAAACAUCUUUCUAAUCAUGAUUAAUAAAGCACAAUGAUAAAAAAAA